rnacentral:rRNA from 1 species
GCAUAAGCGCACGGGGACGCAUGUUUCUGUGUGAAAAACUCCGGUAGUAUAAGAUGAGCCCGCGUCUGAUUAGCUGGUUGGUGGGGUAACGGCCUACCAAGGCGACGAUCAGUAGCCGGCCUGAGAGGGUGAACGGCCACAUUGGGACUGAGACACGGCCCAAACUCCUACGGGAGGCAGCAGUGGGGAAUAUUGGACAAUGGGGGGAACCCUGAUCCAGCGACGCCGCGUGAGUGAAGAAGUAUUUCGGUAUGUAAAGCUCUAUCAGCAGGGAAGAAAGAAAUGACGGUACCUGACUAAGAAGCCCCGGCUAACUACGUGCCAGCAGCCGCGGUAAUACGUAGGGGGCAAGCGUUAUCCGGAUUUACUGGGUGUAAAGGGAGCGUAGACGGCGAUGCAAGUCUGAAGUGAAAGGCGGGGGCCCAACCCCCGGACUGCUUUGGAAACUGUAUGGCUGGAGUGCAGGAGAGGUAAGUGGAAUUCCUAGUGUAGCGGUGAAAUGCGUAGAUAUUAGGAGGAACACCAGUGGCGAAGGCGGCUUACUGGACUGUAACUGACGUUGAGGCUCGAAAGCGUGGGGAGCAAACAGGAUUAGAUACCCUGGUAGUCCACGCCGUAAACGAUGAUUACUAGGUGU